rnacentral:rRNA from 1 species
CAGCAGCCGCGGGAAUACGAAGGGGGCUAGCGUUGCUCGGAAUGACUGGGCGUAAAGGGCGCGUAGGCGGUUUGCACAGUUGGAUGUGAAAUUCCUGGGCUUAACCUGGGGGCUGCAUUCAAUACGUGUGGGCUUGAGUGGGGAAGAGGGUCGUGGAAUUCCCAGUGUAGAGGUGAAAUUCGUAGAUAUUGGGAAGAACACCGGUGGCGAAGGCGGCGACCUGGUCCUUGACUGACGCUGAGGCGCGAAAGCGUGGGGAGCAAACAGGAUAAGAUACCCCCGUAGUCCCUGUCUCUUAUAC